rnacentral:misc_RNA from 1 species
CUGUGUUGCUUACCAUUGCGACGGAAUUCGGUGAUUUUGAUGCCUACAUCCGCCCGGUGCCCGUCGGGGUGUUGGGUGGACGACAGGCCGGCCUCGUGCUCCNGGCACGUCUCGUAUCGAUGCGUGGCUGCCGCGGCGCACGGGGUUGUGCCCGUUCUCUCGGAUCCGGAUCGUUAUACGUGCGGGCGAGGGGCUACGGCCUCCGUCCGUCCGCGUUACGCAUUUGUCCCUCGACACGAACGACCGCCGCACUCGUCUUGGCUGGCUCCCCGAGUCACCGUGCGCGUGUCGGCGUCGUGAAGGAAUGCUACCUGGUUGAUCCUGCCAGUAGUCAUAUG